rnacentral:rRNA from 1 species
UACAGAGGGGGCAAGCGUUGUUCGGAAUUACUGGGCGUAAAGGGCGCGUAGGCGGCCUUCUAAGUCAUGCGUGAAAUCCCCGGGCUCAACCCGGGAACUGCGUUUGAUACUGGAAGGCUUGAAUCCGGGAGAGGGAUGUGGAAUUCCAGGUGUAGCGGUGAAAUGCGUAGAUAUCUGGAGGAACACCGGUGGCGAAGGCGGCAUCCUGGACCGGUAUUGACGCUGAGGCGCGAAAGCCAGGGGAGCAAACGGG